AAUGAUCGAUGAACACAUGAAAAGUUUCUUGAUAUUAAAAGUCACCAGUGGAUAAAAAUUAAAAUCCCAAUGGGAUAUGAGUUUAUACCCACCAAAAAGGCUAAAAUUAAAAAGACUAUUAAUGUGAAAUAUUGGUGAAAAUAAUGAGCAACUGGAACUCUUGUACAUUGCUGAUGAGAGUAUAAAAUGGUACAAUCAUUUUAGAAAAGCAUUUGUAAGUGUCUUAAAAAUUGAACAUGCUCCUAAUCCAUGACCCCAAAAUCCUUCUCCUAAUUGUAUACUCAAGAGCAAUGAAAACAUUUGUCAACCAAAAUGACUUGUACCAGAAUCCACAAGCUUUUUUCCUCAUAGCCAAAAACUGAAAAAUGACUCAUAAGCUCAUCAAAAGGGAGAUUUGUCAACAAAUU
rnacentral:lncRNA from 1 species